CCUUACCAAAAUGGCACAAGUUUAGAGCAGGCAAUUUACAUGACAGGAUUGCCAAGGUGUUUCUCAAUUUGCUGACACUUAAAACAGAAGAGGUGGUGGUGAGGAAUCAUGAACAAGGACAAGUAGGGACAAAAAUUAACUGGGAACUUUUGAGAAAUUUUCUGUGGUUUUGCUCUCUGGGUAAGAAAUUAGCCACAUUGCCUGGCUUUAAUGUUUCCAGCUCUAUCAGGGGAAAGUCAUUAGGAUGGUGUAAACAGAGGCUGAUUAUCUAAAAACAGUCCUUGUUUUCUGCAUGUGAAAGGCAACAAGUGGCCUUUAAAGGACAACACAGAACAAAACUCUCAGACCUGGGACAGGCAGGUUUCCAAAGCUGCACUGGGGGUUUUCUCAAAAGACAACAGUGUCUUGCACGGGUGCCCUUGGCUACUCUCAGGCUGUGUGGGGAGAACCAGAAGUGAGGUAACAAGUAUGCUUUGGAGCAAGCGACCAGGGCAUGUGUGCAAAGUUGCGGCACGCUGGCGGAAAGGGGGACACCCAGGGAGAACCAUUUGGUUUCCUUUUACCAAGAAUCCAAAUCUCUUCUGGAGAGGCAAAGUGCUUUAGAUCAGUUCUCCAAACUCCAAACGUUCACUCAGCGCACCCCUCCCAGGAGGGAGCCCGUUUCACCAGGCGUCUCAGGCAGGUGGGUGCCAGCCUCAAGCUGCCAGGUGGACAGGCCAGUACGCUCCCCGCUCCUCCCCACUGAGCGACCCAACCGUCUCCACGUCCCCGCCCCAGCCUCGAUCCCCAGAAGGAAAGCCUAGCACCGACCGUGGAGCUCGGCGGGCGCCGCUGCAGGGUUCGCGCAGCGCCUGGGCCAGAGGAAGCCGGAGCCCGCGAGGGUGGAUGGCGCGGAGGGUGGCCGGUGUCCCGGGCUGCGGCGCGCCGGCGGCCCCAGCUGCAGGGCUGUCUUGGCUGCGGAAAACUUAUCCGGUGGGGCAGGGCUUCUCUGGGGAGUUCUCGCCGAGCCUCCAGCCUCUGGCGAUGAGCCGGUGGGAAGGAUGAAGCCUCCCUGCCUCCUCUCCACGAUCACCAGAACAGACCAGAGGGAUGACUGUAAGCGCGCGCAAGGACUCGCAGGAAAAAGAAAACUCCGAAGGAAGGAACACGCCUCCAGCCUGUCCUCCCCUUCUCGCAAAGCUCCCAGCCCUUCUCCACUGCGGGACCGCAAGAGCGUCCUCCAGCCCUCACUAAACUGCACGGAGCUGCCGCCCCCUUCCCGGCCCCGAAGGGCAGGAGACUUUUAACUAUUUCCUUCCUGAAGUGAAGCUGGGGGUGGGUGGAGGAGCCCGGGGAGGGUUUAACAGACAAGCCCGGAAUAAUGAAAGGCCUGGCGAGAAACUCGGCCCCUUGGUCAGUGAGUGCAGGCGCUUUGAUCUGGGAUGGAGCAACUCCACUUUGCUUGUGGGCUCCUUCUUUAGUGCAGAGGAAGUUAAGAAGCUCAACUGGAAGGCAGGUUACUAGAUCCAGUAAAGACUGCUUGUAUUUUGUCCCUUGAAGCCAGCACCCUAAGACUGCAUACCUCUAGCCCAGGAGAGUCAGUGACUGGGUGAAAUUCUCACUCCAAAGGAUGAGGAUGCAGAUCCUAUAGAGGGUGGGGCUCAGUGUCUUUACCCCAGAUUGGGGGUGGAAAGGGUGGAAGAGAAGAUGAGCGGCAAAGGCCAUUGUGGGCUCUUCAGGGAAGCCUGACUUGGGGUCCCUCGGUGGACAGCUGGUUUCCGCGGAGUGUGGAACUAUGAGGCUGGGGCACUCUGGACGCACCUCACAGACUGCUCUGGUUAUUGCAGUUGAACAAGUCACCAGUCACCCACCGUUAAACACAGUGGCUUAAAACAAUGUCAGUCACUUACUUUGCUCUCAUCUGCUCUCGGCAGGGCUUGUCUGGAACUCAUCAGUUUUGCUCCAUGUCACUAGGACUGGGGGAUGCACUUCACUUGCUCUGUGUUGAGGGUUAGUUUUUCUCCAAGUGUGGUGACGAGUUUCCAAGUGUCCAAAGAGACAGGAAGUGGAAACUGACAAUCUCUUGAGAUCUGGGCCCAGAAACUGGUAGAAUGGCACUUUUGAUCAAUUUUAUGAGUCAAGCAGUCAUUGAUCCCAGACUCAAAGUGAGGUCUUAAAGAACCUGCCUGCCAAUUCAAGGAAUGUUGAAAAAUUUAGGGAUCAUUUUGUAAAACCAUCAAAGAGACCCACAGAAAACCACCAUUGAAAGGGUUUCUUCUAGUCAUCUAGUUCUGUUGGAUUACAUAUCACCCUGUGCACUAAUCUAGAGUAUCUAUAGCUUCUGUGUGAGGGUGGGUUAACCAGCCAGAAUAACAAAUAGCUUUUUAAAAUGCCUUAGUUUAUAUUAAAAGAAGGGUUGACGUUUUGGGCACAUGGCUUGGCAAGCUGACAAUCUUUUCCAGGAAGAAAAAGUGACUGCCUUCUCCCAGAAGAGGCCGUGCCCAGCUUGGGAUGUGACAUAUGCUGGAUUUCAGCCUUUCCUUGCUCGGUGACCAGACGCACUUGGACAGUGUACACCUAUGUGUGCAUCAUAUCUACUAGGCUAGAGUCUCAUCAACAAUUCUAAAGCAUUCCGUGGUUGAAUGAGAGGAAACGCUGAUGUAGGUGGGUCUGGAGGAUGUGGUUAUGUAUCAUCACACAUCACGCCAGACAUUCACUGUGUUGGUGUUAAUCAUUGCAGCAUUCCUCUACCACAUUUUCUACCAUGAUAUUCUCUUCACCAUGGGCCCAGAGCAGUGGAAUCAACUGACCAUGGACUGAAACUGAAUUCUGCCUAGUUAGGUCCUCUGGAGGAACUACUUCAGCCAAAAGAUAUCCACAGUCAUGCAGAGAAGAGAUGCAGCCGCUUCAGCCAUUCUGCAGGAUACCUUGUUUAACAGGUGUUAUUGAUUGACUUCUGUGGAACUCAUGGCCAACAGUGCUAUACCUCAUGCCCAAAUGGAGAUUAACUGAUGUACGUGCUUUCCAUAAGGUACAUAUGCAAAAAAAUGGAAAACGGGGACUCAGACACUCACACGUGAAAGUUCACAGCAGCAAUUCACAAGAGCUGAAAGGUGGGAUGAGUUCAAGUGUGCAUUAGGGUUGAAAAGGAUGGCUUUAUGAAGUUUUGGGUUCAGAGCUCUCUGAACGACGACCCAACAGAGUCAGCUGUACGAAGAACAAGUUCCAUGUGAGACCUUGGGGUGGGCUCCUUAUGGCGAGACAGCAUGGGAUGGUGGCAGGUGCUUAGGACUUGCAGUCUCUGAGACCUCAGACCACGGAGCUGCUCAUUGGGGGACUUUUUUGGCUCCGCCCACGUGACCCAGCCAAUUGGCCUCAAGAGCAGGAGGAUUGUGGGAGGAGCCACAAUGUGCCAGAAUUCCUAUCUUCAUCCCAGUGCUGGUGAAGUCAAAGAUAAAACCAAUCUACAGCUUCUACAAUAGCCAUCACUGAACUGCUUGCAGAACUUGCUUGGACACAUUGUGAGCUCACCUGUAUGCAUUGUGAACUAUCUGUUGGUGCAGCGACUUGUGGUAGUGUUGGGGUAUUUUUGCUGAUGAUGUCAUUGGUGGUACAAUUUUUCCAAAAGGAGCCGUCAAUUGGCUUGGUGUAUCUUCCUCCCUUCUGCUUGUCAUGAUCGUCCAGCUAAAAUUUGGGGGCCAACAGAGGUGAGGCAAAGAACCUCACCCCCCCCCCCGCUGGUACAAAGACCUCUCCACAGGUGUGGCUGUAUACUGGACCGGUAGUCAGUGACGGGUAAGAUCCAAUUGCAAUGGUACCAACCUAAGGACCAUAUGUACUAUUGGACAACCUAAGGCAGGCACGGUCCCUAAGCCACGUGCUUGUUGUUUAAACAGAGAGGGGGAGAUGUUGAGAGCCACAGCCGAAGGGGCCCCAGCAAACUUCCAGCUGCCAGCAAACUUCCAGCUGCCUGCUGAUGAUUGGCUCACAGCGGCCCCAGCAACAUCUAGCUGAUUGGCUCCUCUGCGGUGAUGCUCAUUGGGCUGUUUCCCUGCCCUUUCAGACCACGGAGCUGCUCAUUGGGGGACUUUUUUGGCUCCGCCCACAUGACCCAGCCAAUCGGCCUCAAGAGCAGGAGGAUUGUGGGAGGGGGAGAGAAGCUUGUGUGGGAGAGAGAGGCUUGUGGAAAGCCGGUGGUGGCUGUUGAGGCUCUGAGGGUUUUUCCUGAGAGGCUGUUUUGUUUGGCGUGUGUGGUUCUAAAAAUAAAGUUAGUUUCUUUUGACAAGUGGCUCCUGAUUGUGCCCAGCCAGAC